CGCCCUCUCUUCCUCUCCCUUUCUCUUCUCUUGGGCGUUCUACACGCCCCAUCCUUUGGGACGUGAGUCUCAAGGAGUUCCAUGCUCAAGGUGUUGGGCAUUCCAUAAUUUAUUGGUUGCUGGUGUUUUAUAGCCACACAAAGCAAGAAAAAACUCUAGGGAAGAGGAGAAGAAGAAGAUCAAGGAGAAAGAUUAAGUAUUGAUCACGAUCUAGAUUUCGUUCAAAUUCAGCAGGCUGAAUUUUGGAGAAUCAAAUUUUAGAUUAAAGAAGACUGUUCCAGGCUGAUCCCAAGUGGAUACUCAUAG
rnacentral:lncRNA from 1 species